AUAUAGAUGGCUGAGUGGUCGAAGGCUCCUGAUUGAAGUUCAGGCGUACGGGAAACUGUACCGAGAGUUCGAAUCUCUCUCUAUCCG
rnacentral:tRNA from 1 species